rnacentral:rRNA from 1 species
UGCAGUCGAGCGGACAGAUGGGAGCUUGCUCCCUGAUGUUAGCGGCGGACGGGUGAGUAACACGUGGGUAACCUGCCUGUAAGACUGGGAUAACUCCGGGAAACCGGGGCUAAUACCGGAUGGUUGUUUGAACCGCAUGGUUCAAACAUAAAAGGUGGCUUCGGCUACCACUUACAGAUGGACCCGCGGCGCAUUAGCUAGUUGGUGAGGUAAUGGCUCACCAAGGCAACGAUGCGUAGCCGACCUGAGAGGGUGAUCGGCCACACUGGGACUGAGACACGGCCCAGACUCCUACGGGAGGCAGCAGUAGGGAAUCUUCCGCAAUGGACGAAAGUCUGACGGAGCAACGCCGCGUGAGUGAUGAAGGUUUUCGGAUCGUAAAGCUCUGUUGUUAGGGAAGAACAAGUACCGUUCGAAUAGGGCGGUACCUUGACGGUACCUAACCAGAAAGCCACGGCUAACUACGUGCCAGCAGCCGCGGUAAUACGUAGGUGGCAAGCGUUGUCCGGAAUUAUUGGGCGUAAAGGGCUCGCAGGCGGUUUCUUAAGUCUGAUGUGAAAGCCCCCGGCUCAACCGGGGAGGGUCAUUGGAAACUGGGGAACUUGAGUGCAGAAGAGGAGAGUGGAAUUCCACGUGUAGCGGUGAAAUGCGUAGAGAUGUGGAGGAACACCAGUGGCGAAGGCGACUCUCUGGUCUGUAACUGACGCUGAGGAGCGAAAGCGUGGGGAGCGAACAGGAUUAGAUACCCUGGUAGUCCACGCCGUAAACGAUGAGUGCUAAGUGUU